AGCUUUGCGCUGUGGCAAUAUCGUAACCAAUGACGUCCAUCCUAGGUGUGAUUAUUGCUAACAUAAAAUUGCUUACUACAUAUUUAUACAAUCAAAUGUUGUAAAAUACACAUUAAGAACAAUGAAAACGAU